AAUUAAGGAAAUGAGGAAUUAGAUUAAAAAAAAAAAAAAAAAAAAAAAAAAGGAAGAAAUAAGAGGAAACAAGGAAUUAAGACAGCAGUGGGUGAUGCAACCUAAUUCUUCUUCAUCCCUACCCAAAAGGGCACAAAACUGUCCGUCAGGAAGCAGAAAAUGCCGCUCUACCUGCCCGCAGACAAGAUGGGGCUUCACCUGCGCGGGGGCUACGUUUAUCCUACCCAGCAGCCAGCGACCAACACCGUUGAGAGGUAUGUCCACGGGCGGAAUAUUUUCUGCACUAAACUGGCAGGAAAAUGGGAUUUAAAGGAAGGGGCUUGAGGCCACCCGGUUUCAGGAAAUAAAUACAUAAAUAAAGCAGUAUUUGGAGCAUAAUUAUUACUUAGCAGCAUUUUAGCACUAUUAUUAUUGUUUAUUGUUGUUUAUUAUUAUUAUUAUUGUGUAUUAUUAUUAGUAUUUAACAUUUGAAAGUUGGAAAUUAAGGACAGGCACCACUGAUUUUCUCAAUGAAGUAAUAUUUCUAAUAAUUCACUAGAGAAGAUUUUUCUCUUUUCAUGAUUUUUCCUUUCCUUUCCCUUUUUGCAAACUUUCAGUGGAUUUUAUUCUUUUACUUGAAAAUCAUCAAACACGUAAACCAGGGACCAACACAAGACAGUUCUCCAAGUUUUGAAGCCCCGUUGAGCUCUAUACUCUUAAAAUGAACAUUAAAGACUUUUUAUUUUAUUUUAUUUUGCUUUAAAGACUGUUUACUACACAUCUAAUUUUUUUUUAUUAAUGGGUGGGGUUUUGGUUUUGGCCCACAGCCGUAAGAAUCCUAUGGGACUGAUCAUUGCGCUGGAUGACAACAACCAAGCCACUGGGGAGUUGUUCUGGGAUGAUGGAGAAUCUGCACCUUCCAAUGGCAAUAGAAACUACAUUUUCUAUGAGUUCAAAGUUUCCAAUGUAAGUAUAUAUAUAUAUAUAUGUUUUUUUUUUUUAAUAAUUUUUUUUAAUAAUUUUCAUUUCCAAUGUUAAACUUCUAUGGGUAUUCUUUUUCCCUUUCCUUAUUUUCCUACAAUACUUACUAAGAAACGGAGUAUUUGGCAAAGUCUAAGAAGUGCCAUUUUCAAAAUAUUAUCGCUAAUAAAAUUAUUUAUAAUAUCUGAAAAAUUCCA
rnacentral:lncRNA from 1 species